rnacentral:snRNA from 1 species
GUGUUAGCUUCAAGGCCGCACAUGUUAAAAUUAGACAAAACAGAGAAAAUUACCCAUGGCCCCUGCAUAAGGGUAAAAUGUGAAUUUGUGGAGCAGUCCAUAUUUUU